AUAGAGGUGGCAGAUUAAAUGCAUUAGGUUUAAACCCUAAAGAUAAAGGUGAAAAUUCUUUCCUUUAUA
rnacentral:tRNA from 1 species